rnacentral:rRNA from 1 species
UACGUAGGGUGCAAGCGUUAAUCGGAAUUACUGGGCGUAAAGCGUGCGCAGGCGGUUUUGUAAGUUUGUCGUGAAAGCCCCGGGCUCAACCUGGGAAUUGCGAUGAAGACUGCAAGGCUUGAAUCUGGCAGAGGGGGGUAGAAUUCCACGUGUAGCAGUGAAAUGCGUAGAGAUGUGGAGGAACACCGAUGGCGAAGGCAGCCCCCUGGGUCAAGAUUGACGCUCAUGCACGAAAGCGU